rnacentral:rRNA from 1 species
UAGGGAAUCUUCCGCAAUGGGCGAAAGCCUGACGGAGCAACGCCGCGCGAGUGAUGAAGGUCUUCGGAUCGUAAAACUCUGUUAUUAGGGAAGAACAAAUGUGUAAGUAACUAUGCACGUCUUGACGGUACCUAAUCAGAAAGCCACGGCUAACUACGUGCCAGCAGCCGCGGUAAUACGUAGGUGGCAAGCGUUAUCCGGAAUUAUUGGGCGUAAAGCGCGCGUAGGCGGUUUUUUAAGUCUGAUGUGAAAGCCCACGGCUCAACCGUGGGGGGUCAUUGGAAACUGGAAAACUUGAGUGCAGAAGAGGAAAGUGGAAUUCCAUGUGUAGCGGUGAAAUGCGCAGAGAUAUGGAGGAACACCAGUGGCGAAGGCGACUUUCUGGUCUGUAACUGACGCUGAUGUGCGAAAGCGUGGGGAUCAAACAGG